CUCCUAUUCAGACCAGGUCAUAUCCUCCUAUUCAGACCAGGUCAUAUCCUCCUAUUCAGACCAGGUCAUAUCCUCCUAUUCAGACCAGGUCACAUCAUCCUAUUCAGACCAGGUCACAUCAUCCUAUUCAGACCAGGUCACAUCAUCCUAUUCAGACCAGGUCACAUCCUCCUAUUAAGACCAGGUCACAUCCUCCUAUUCAGACCAGGUCAUAUCCUCGGUUUAUUCAGUUUUUUAACCAUUCAAUUAUACUUAUUUAUUCUUGUCACAAUGAAAAGGAAUCUGUUUUCACUAGAAAGUGUUUAUUUUGAAAAAUGUCAUUAUUUUGGCAGCAGGUAGGUAAUGCAUUAUUAUUAUUAAUGUGUGUAUGUGUGUGUGUGUGUUUGUGUGCUGUAUGUAUGAUGGAUAUCUGCAUUAUAUACCCAACCCUGUUCCUCCAUCCAUUCCCUGUCUUCUGCUGUGUCCUGAAUACACCUCACACACACACACACACACAGAUGAACAUAAAAAGAUGAAUCAUUCAACAGCCUGCAGUCUAACAGCAUGCCUGUGUGUCUGACUGCCACACACUAUAUCAUAUAGCAUAUAUUCCAAUAUUAACUCACUUUCUUUAUAUUAUCCACACAAUGAGUUACUGUAGUAGAAAGGUGAAUAUAUUUUAGAAAUGGUACAAUUCAGUCACAUCCUAAAUUCAUAUUUAGUUUUUUUUGUUGCCAUCAAAUAUUUCACUAAUGCCCAGAUGUCUUUCAAGUAUUCGUGCACACAUGUUUACAGCUGUUAACGAGAGUUAUUCAGGGUACAUUGUUAUUGUUGUUUGUGAGGGUUCUAGAACAUGUUUACAGCUGUUAAUGAGAGUUCUUCAGGGUACAUUGUUAUUGUUGUUUGUGAGGGUUCUAGAACAUGUUUACAGCUGUUAACGAGAGUUAUUCAGGGUACAUUGUUAUUGUUGUCUGUGAGGGUUCUAGAACAUGUUUACAGCUGUUAAUGAGAGUUCUUCAGGGUACAUUGUUAUUGUUGUUUGUGAGGGUUCUAGAACAUGUUUACAGCUGUUAACGAGAGUUAUUCAGGGUACAUUGUUAUUGUUGUAUGUGAGGGUUCUAGAACAUGUUUACAGCUGUUAAUGAGAGUUCUACAGGGUACAUUGUUAUUGUUGUCUGUGAGGGUUCUGGAACAUGUUUACAGCUGUUAAUGAGAGUUCUACAGGGUACAUUGUUAUUGUUGUCUGUGAGGGUUCUAGAACAUGUUUACAGCUGUUAACGAGAGUUCUUCAGGGUACAUUGUUAUUGUUGUCUGUGAGGGUUCUAGAACAUGUUUACAGCUGUUAACGAGAGUUCUACAGGGUACAUUGUUAUUGUUGUCUGUGAGGGUUCUAGAACAUGUUUACAGCUGUUAACGAGAGUUCUUCAGGGUACAUUGUUAUUGUUGUUUGUGAGGGUUCUAGAACAUGUUUACAGCUGUUAACGAGAGUUAUUCAGGGUACAUUGUUAUUGUUGUUUGUGAGGGUUCUAGAACAUGUUUACAGCUGUUAACGAGAGUUCUUCAGGGUACAUUGUUAUUGUUGUCUGUGAGGGUUCUAGAACAUGUUUACAGCUGUUAACGAGAGUUCUUCAGGGUACAUUGUUAUUGUUGUCUGUGAGGGUUCUAGAACAUGUUUACAGCUGUUAACGAGAGUUCUUCAGGGUACAUUGUUAUUGUUGUCUGUGAGGGUUCUGGAACAUGUUUACAGCUGUUAAUGAGAGUUCUACAGGGUACAUUGUUAUUGUUGUCUGUGAGGGUUCUAGAACAUGUUUACAACGAGAGUUCUACAGGGUACAUUGUUAUUGUUGUCUGUGAGGGUUCUAGAACAUGUUUACAGCUGUUAACGAGAGUUCUACAGGGUACAUUGUUAUUGUUGUUCUGUGAGGGUUCUAGAACAUGUUUACAGCUGUUAACGAGAGUUCUACAGGGUACAUUGUUAUUGUUGUCUGUGAGGGUUCUAGAACAUGUUUACAGCUGUUAACGAGAGUUCUACAGGGUACAUUGUUAUUGUUGUUUGUGAGGGUUCUAGAACAUGUUUACAGCUGUUAACAGGAGUUCUACAGGGUACAUUGUUAUUGUUGUCUGUGAGGGUUCUAGAACAUGUUUACAGCUGUUAACGAGAGUUCUUCAGGGUACAUUGUUAUUGUUGUUUGUGAGGGUUCUAGAACAUGUUUACAGCUGUUAACGAGAGUUCUACAGGGUACAUUGUUAUUGUUCUAUGUGAGGGUUCUAGAACAUGUUUACAGCUGUUAAUGAGAGUUCUACAGGGUACAUUGUUAUUGUUGUCUGUGAGGGUUCUGGAACAUGUUUACAGCUGUUAAUGAGAGUUCUACAGGGUACAUUGUUAUUGUUGUCUGUGAGGGUUCUAGAACAUGUUUACAGCUGUUAACGAGAGUUCUUCAGGGUACAUUGUUAUUGUUGUUUGUGAGGGUUCUAGAACAUGUUU
ensembl:lncRNA